AUUAGCGCUUUAGGUAUUUACUAGGUUGGUAGAUUUAAAAGGGAAUCCGGUGCAAGCCCGGAACUGCCCCCGCAACUGUAAGUGUGGACGAAAUCGGAACGCCCACUGCACAGGUCGGUUAACGCUUCUUGUGUGGGAAGGGACGAGAGUAGGGUGAUGCACGAGUCAGGAGACCUGCCUAACGCG
rnacentral:ncRNA from 1 species